rnacentral:misc_RNA from 1 species
AAGUCGUAACAAGGUUUCCGUAGGUGAACCUGCGGAAGGAUCAUUAACACGUAUCCAACGUUAAACAACCCUGUGAACUUUCAACACCGCCGGAAUGAGAUUAAUUUCCAACUCCGGUGAAGGCAAGUGACCUGGCACCUGGACCACAUCAAAGCUCUGACAGAGUGCCUCUGGAUGCUGAUUGAAGGGUGACGCAGUAACGAUCGCUGGAGGCCCACACGGCCGGCGACUGGGUCAGCGAGCUAACGCUCCCUCAACAACCACUUAACAUGACGACAGUUCCUCUUUAACUUGAGUUGAGCUAUAACAAAAAACUAUACAACUGUUAACAAUGGAUAUCUUGGUUCUC